rnacentral:rRNA from 1 species
CCUACGGGUGGCAGCAGUGAGGAAUAUUGGUCAAUGGGGGAAACCCUGAUGCAGCGACGCCGCGUGAGCGAUGAAGUAUUUCGGUAUGUAAAGCUCUAUCAGCAGGGAAGAAAAUGACGGUACCUGACUAAGAAGCCCCGGUUAACUACGUGUCAGCAGCCGCGGUAAUACGUAGGGGGCAAGCGUUUUCCGGAUAUACUGGGUGUAAAGGGAGCGUAGACGGCGGUGCAAGCCAGAUGUGAAAGCCCGGGGCUCAACCCCGGGACUGCAUUUGGAACUGUGCUGCUAGAGUGUCGGAGAGGCAGGCGGAAGUCCUAGUGUAGCGGUGAAAUGCGUAGAUAUUAGGAGGAACACCAGUGGCGAAGGCGGCCUGCUGGACGAUGACUGACGUUGAGGCUCGAAAGCGUGGGGAGCAAACAGGAUUAGAUACCCCUGUAGUC